CCCUUAGAUGUUCGGGGCCGCACGCGCGCUACACUGAAGGAAUCAGCACGUCUUUCUCCUUGUCCGAAAGGACUGGGUAACCCGCUGAACCUCCUUCGUGCUAGGGAUUGGGGCUUGUAAUUCUUCCCCAUGAACGAGGAAUUCCCAGUAAGCGCGAGUCAUAAGCUCGCGUUGAUUACGUCCCUGCCCUUUGUACACACCGCCCGUCGCUACUACCGAUUGGAUGGUUUAGUGAGAUCCUCGGAUUGGUCCCGGAGCGGCCUCUGGUCGUGCCGGAGUGCCGAAAAGAAUGUCGAACAUGAUCAUCUAGAGGAAGUAAAAGUCGUAACA
rnacentral:rRNA from 1 species